rnacentral:misc_RNA from 1 species
GAUGAAGAACGUAGCGAAAUGCGAUACUUGGUGUGAAUUGCAGAAUCCCGUGAACCAUCGAGUCUUUGAACGCAAGUUGCGCCCGAAGCCAUUUGGUUGAGGGCACCUCUGCCUGGGCGUCACAUAUCGUUGCCCGAUGCCUAUUGCACUGUGAUAGGAAAUUCUAGGGCGAAAGAUGGCUUCCCGUGAGCGUUGUUGCCUCGCGGUUGGUUGAAAAUUGAGUCCUUGGUAGGGUGUGCCAUGAUAGAUGGUGGUCGAGUUUGCACGAGACCGAUCAUGUGUGCGCUCCCCAAAAUAUGGACUCUUUGACCCCACACGCGUCUUUUGACGCUCAUGACGAGACCUCAGGUCAGGCGGGGCUACCCGCUGAGUUUAAGCAUAUCAAUAAGCGGAGGA